AGCUUCCCCAAGAUUCAUCUUGCACUUCCUGUCAUUUUUUUUUUUAAAGCCUACCUAGGAUAGCUGCCCUUAUACACAUGGACGUGGGACCAUCAUUGGAGCAUCAUCAACCUGCCAUGGGCCACACUCUUAAAGGAAACUGACUCUCCACCCUCCAUAAGUCAUCAGUUAGGAGCGAGGUCUCAUGAACUACCCCUGCCUCUAUGCUAGGUUGUGUUGCCUGACUACUGUGUGCAGGCAACCACAGGCAGAGUUGGGCCUAAAUGAGCACCAUCAAAAUGAGGUUAUUAAUUACAUGCGUUUUGCUCGUUCAAAAAGAGGCUUGAGACUUAAAACAGUAGAUGCCUGCUUUCAAGACCUCAAGGAGAGCAGGUUGGUAGAGGAGACUUUCACCAUGGAUGAAGUCAUGGAAGUCCUGAACGGGUUGCAGUCUGUGGUUCACAGUGAGGUGGAGUCUGAGCUCAUUAAUACAGCCUACACCAACGUGCUACUCCUACGGCAGCUGUUCUCACAAGCUGAGAAGUGGUACCUAAAGCUACAGACAGACAUCUCUGAACUUGAAAACAGAGAAUUACUAGAACAAAUUGCUGAAUUUGAGAAGGCAGAAUUUACAUCUUCAAGCAAAAAGCCCAUCAUAGAUAUCACAAAGCCUAAACUUGUUCCAAUUAAUGAAGGUGGAACAACAGAACUUCUAAACAAGGAAAUUUUAAGACUUCAACAAGAGAAUGAGAAAUUAAAGUCAAGGCUGAAGACCAUUGAAAUACAGACUACAAAUGCUUUGGAUGAGAAGUCAAAAUUGGAAAGAACACUUCAGGAUUUACAAAUUGAUCAAGAAAAUCAACAGGAUUUUAUAAAGGCCCAUGACUUGGAUGACUUGGAAAACACAGUUGCAGCUCUUAGGGAUGAAUUUCAGAAAACACUUAAUGACCAGACAGAAAACCAAAAGUCUUUGGAGCAGAACCUAGCAGCAGCCAAACAUGACCUCCUCAGAGUACAGGAGCAGCUGAGCUUGGCUGAAAAGGUCAGGAGACACAUACGGAAGGGCUUCACCGACUCAUGUCUGAUUAUCUAAUGCAUACAGUAGAGAGGAGCAAAUGAGUUAGAGAAGAAAUUUCAACAAACAGCAGCUUAUCGAAACAUGAAAGAGAUUCUCACCAAAAAGAAUGACCAAAUCAAGGAUCUACGGAAAAGACUGGCAAAAUAUGAAUCUGAAGAUUAAAGACUGAUGGUUUUGUCUAGAACCUGCCACACAUGAGCAUACAAGUUAUCUCCAGUCACCUCAGGCAUGUACUUUGAAGCAUUUUAUCAUAUUCUCUCCUUUUUCUAAUGUUUAGGGUUUGCUUGUAAUGCUAGAAUUAGCAUUCUUAUUUGAAGUUCUCUGAUCCAGAAGAGGAAAAAAAUGAAAUAUUCUUUUUUGUUGUCUCAAACACCUGUCUGUCUAGUGCUCCAGAGUCUCUGUGCAAGUACAGUGAGAGUUCUUCAUUGUAGAAAGAGUUUACAGUGGGAAGAAGAGCCAUCCUUUUGCAUUAGUAAGAAGAUUGAACCUUUUAAUGUUAGAUAAGCUGGUACCAUCAACACUCUACAGUUCCUAAAUGUAAAGAUAAAUAGUAAAGUUACUAAGAUUUACAAAUAAACCUCUUAUUUUUAAUAAUAAGAUCCUAAUUAAUUUACUCUAUUUGAUCAUCAAACUGUAUAAACUCAUGGAAAAUAUGUUUACUGUCAACUAUAGUCAACAUUUUUAAUCAAUUAAGGGAAAGUAAGCUUCAGUGACCAUGAAGACUCAGUUAACUGUGCAUCUCUCUAUCAUGAGUGCUGCUUAUCAAAGGAGAUACAUCCUGACUUAUCACGGGUUUGUGUUAUGGACGGAGAAGUCAUAUUCAUCCUAUGCUUUCACAGUUUAGAAAGCAGAUGGACUCAGAGUACAUGCAGUCUUUAGACUUAAUUCCAGAAUUCCUUUUUGCCUGUAUAUGGAUUAGAACGCUGAACUUUGACUCAACAGAAAGUCGGUGACUAGGUUCCAGGUUGGACUUUGGGUUGUGGCUUGUAUAUGUGUAGAGAAAUGGUGUUUUCAAGAGAUUUUAAUAUUUUUACUGGUGUGCUUUUUCUUAGCUGGUCAUAUAUAAAGUAUAAGAAACAGGACACACACCCACAGUGUGUAGUGCAGUGAUGUGGUAUUCAAAUGAGUAAAGAUCACAAAGCAGUUACCCCUCAGAAAGUAAGCAUUUACCCUUCUCAUGUUAACAUGGAAAAAGUGAUCCCAUUUCUCAAAGCAAACAUUUCCACACAUCUGUGUGGAUAGUCUGAGAGAGGUUCUUCCAAUCUCCACAAAUAGGGAACUUAAUCCCAGAAAAAGAGUGCACUGAUCAGAGCUUAUGUCUCUGUUAUUUUCACUCAAACUUUUAGUAUUAGCUUUGAAUGUACUGUGGGGUUUUGUAGACUUUGUUAAGAUUCUAAAUGAACAAAUAAUAGUGAGGUAAUUUGUCCCUAAAAAAGCAGGGAAGGCAAUCUUAGAAGAUGAAUGACUCUGAAAAGAAAGAAAAAGAAUACAGUAACAAGCCAACAUUUCCUACACAUUUUUUUCCUCAUCCAUUUAUUUGUCAUUGGAUCACUCAUCAGUUUCUUGUAGGGCUUUCACUGAGGACUCUUGUUUCACCCUGAAUUUCUUCAGCUCAACAUAAUUACCUCUCUAAAAGUACAUUCCAUCAUUUGUGGACCAGAAUGUUAUGUAGAAGUCAGAAACCAGAACUUCUCACUAAAUGGAAAAUGUUCCUUUGAGAAACCAUUUAGUUGUAUUCUCCCUACACCCUUUCUCAGUUUAAUGCCAGAAAGAAAAGAUUUAAGAAACCUGUAAUAAAUUGCUGGGUAGAAGUUUGCUUGUUUAUUUAUUUUUGUUGGUAGUGGCUUUAAAAUAUUCUGUGUAGUGUGUUCCACUUGUUGAAUAAUUCAGAAGUAUUUCUGAAACCUUAAAAUCUCUUCAACAGUAAAAUAAACAAACAGGCUGCAUAAAUCAAUGUGAUGCUUCUUUCACUUUUACCAUUUACUGCUUCUGGUUUUGUCACUGCUCUGUUUUGCUUUUAAACUCAUACCACCCAGAAAAAUGCAGUUUUAAAUGUUUAUUUCACCUGGCUUCACAGUUUUAAGUUUUAUCUCAUUUAACGGAACAAAGCCUGUUCACUCUAUACGUUUUGGCCCUUUAGGAACCUAGUUCAACCUUGAGUGAGCAGUUAGUGUACUGGUAACUGUGAAAAGUCUGAGCUGGUAAGCCAUCUUAGUGAAGCUCCUGCCCAGCAUGCCGAAUUUAACCUACUAUACAUGAGGCGCUGGGAUCAGUCCCCACAUUAUAAAACAAAAACAAAAACAAAUGAAAUGCAUCUUUGACUUAACUUUAAAAUUCAAGCCUUCAAAAUUAUGACAUUUUACUAACAAAAAUAAAAAGGAAAGGGAUUUGUUAUUAAUACCUUCAACUUGACAGUUAAAUAUUUGUUCUUAUCUUACAUUUGAAUGUCUGUGCUAAAUAAAUAUUUAAUCAUUUGUUUAUGUCUUGUAAAUCUAAUUAUAUAGAAUAUUUUGUUCUCUGAAAUAUGUAAUCAUAUUUGAUAAAGCCGUUACUGUUAUUUU